AAAGGGAAUCGUAUCCUCAGGCUCACACCAGCUCGCGCUUAGGGUGUAUAUAAGGCUAAGGCACCGUCACUCAGAGCCGUAGCACAAGCCCUAGCGGCAGAACGGCUCCCUCGACACACUUUCACAGCGGCGCACUUCCCCGACGGCUAACGUUCAGGAAAUGCAUGGGGCUCCCAUUUGCAAGCUUACUGCAGAGGUUGAGGAACCCAUGGUUUCAUGCCCUCCCAGGUUGAUACUAGGCAUCCUGAGGGGUUUUUUUAUUUUAUUUGACCAGGUUUAGUGAUCUGAUUUAACCUAAGGGAUUCAUUCAUAUGUCCUUCUGUGAUCUAACAUAACACAGUUUCGUUUUCAAUGUUUGCAUUAAAAGAUAACAUUCUCUUGCUCAAAACAUAUAUUGUGUACCAUAACGGCGCAUCUCAAACGUAUACAGCUAACAAAUUACUUCCUUCCUCUACUGGGAUUUGAAACAAAGAGCCAUUUUUUUUUAUAACUCCGCAAGCAUUCACAACCGGCUGUUUGGCAAACCAGAAAAUUGGGUGUCUCUGAACAUACUGAAUAGCAUAAUUAACUGCGCAUUGCGCAGUUUGAUAAUUAGCAGUGCAUUGUGCGUUUUGAACAGAGGAGCUUUUCUCAUCGGGAAGAGCUCAUAUAGAUUUCACUUUCAUAUCCACAUUACACCAAAAAAAAACACACACACAUGUGACAGAACCCAUGUUGUCUCAUGACAUACAUACUAAAGCAGUAACCUGUAGUCUGCAAAGGCUGUAUGUUGCGAUCUGAAAUGCGAUCGAGCCACCCAAAAUUCCAUAGCACCUCAUAAAUCUGCCUAAGCAAGCACUUUCACUGACUGUAUAAGCAAUACCGAUUGUUAGAGAUGAAAUCAAAUCAAGAAUCUUUUAUUUGAUUAUUACAAAUUAUUUCCAUACUUAUAU